ACGUAGGUGGCGAGCGUUGUCCGGAAGUAAUGGGUGAAAAGGGAGAGAAGGCGGGAAUGUAAGUCAGAUGGGAAAACACAUGGCUCAACUGUGGGGCUGCAUCUGAAACUAUGUUUCUUGAGUGCUGGAGAGGAAAGCGGAAUUCCAAGUGUAGCGGUGAAAUGCGUAGAUAUUUGGAGGAACACCAGUGGCGAAGGCGGCUUUCUGGACAGUAACUGACGCUGAGGCGCGAAAGCGUGGGGAGCAAACAG
rnacentral:rRNA from 1 species